rnacentral:rRNA from 1 species
AUGGAAUUGAGUUUGUCUCAUACACUUCAUCUUUUUAAUAUCUUUUGUGAGAAUGAUGGAAAGGAAAAUAGUGCUCAAGUGCUAGAAGAAGAAUGCAUUAAAAUGUUUGGCACUAAAUCUUUGAAUGAUGAGCAUGAUUGCAAUGUUUUUAGUAUGAAUUCCUUGAAUAUCCAUGAUGCUAAUGAUAUGCAAAGCCACAAGCUUGGGGAUGCUAUGUUUGGUGAAGAUGAUAUGUUUAGUCCCCCAAGUUUUGAUGAGAAUAUUUAUUAUGAUGAAAUCAUGCCUCCUAUUUAUGAUGAUUAUAUUGAUGAAAGUGGGUUUGGAAGAGUGUCAACUUUAGGAAGUAAUGAUCCCACUAUUUUGGAGGAUGUUGAAUAUUAUUGUGAUAAUUAUGAAAGUGGAUUUGGAGAGGUCAUGACUUUAUUUAGUGAUGAAUCCACUAUUUCGGAAGAGGUUCCAAUUGAUUAUGAGAACAAAGUUGCUAUCUAUUAUGAUUAUUGUGAUGACUUGUAUGCUAUUAAUAAUAAUGAUAACCAUGAAACUUGUCAUCAUGAUUUUAGUUUUCAAUUGGAUCAUGCCUCACAUGAUAAUUAUUUUGUUGAAUUUGCUCCCACUACUAUUCAUGAGAAGAAAUUUGCUUAUGUGGAGAGUAGUAAAUUUUCUAUGCUUGUAGAUCAUGAAAAGAAUGCUUUAUGUGCCAGUUAUAUUGUUGAAUUCAUUCAUGAUGCUACUGAAAAUUAUUAUAAGGGAGGAACAUAUGCUUGUAGGAAUUGCAAUAAUAUCAAGUUUCCUCUCUAUGUGUUGAAAAUCUUGAAGCUAUGCUUGUUUUGCUUUCCUAUGCUAGUUGAUUCUUGUUCCCAUAAUUUGUUUGCUCACAAAAUACCUAUGCAUAGGAAGUUGGUUAGACUUAAAUGUGCUAGUCAUAUGCUUCAUGAUGCUCCCGUUAUGUUUGAAUUCUUAUCUUUUAUGUGA